AUUACUAACCUACUAAUUGGGCAGAUUGAGCUUUGUUCUGAAGAUUCUGCAGAUAUUUUGCCAUAGUCUCAUGAAAGACGAGUUGUGAAGCUUGUUGUGCCCCUUGGGGAAGAACUGGCAGCCAUCCAAAAGACAUACAUCCAGAGUUUGGAAACAUUUGCAAGUUCUCUGAUUCUGAGCAAUGUUUUGAUGAGAAGAGAUAUCCCCAAUCUAACCAAGUACCAGAUAAUUCUGGCCAGAGAUCAAUUUAGGAAAAACCCAUCUCCAAAUAUUGUGGGAUGUCAUCAAGGCAUAAUUGACGGCGAGUAUGCCAUUUGUAUUAGUUUAUAUCAUGGUUAUGAACUACUGCAGCAUAUGGGAAUGAGAUAUUUUUUCCUUUCUGGAAUUACGCAUGGAACAAAAGCUACAAACACCUCUGAAAAGAAAUAUGAUGACACAAGAGUUAUGAUUGUUUUCUUCAUUUCGAGACAGUGUUCAGGAAAUUGCAGAAAUGCUUUGAAAGCAUCAGCCAAUUAUUAGAGUGAUGACGUUUGUUGGCCAUGCUUCAGGGAAAAGCAUGAAAGGUUUUACCAAGAAGGAGCAGUUGGAGGUAGUGAGCGAUCUUGUGAUGAUGGUAACAACGCAUUAGUCUCUACCUGUGUUGGUGAAGGAGGUUCAGACAUUGGAGAAGUUGGACUUAUAAUAUGUUUUGAUGCCCAAAAGAGCCCGAUUCGCCUUAUACAACGAAUGUGGAGAACUGGCCAUGAACGUCAAGGCAGGAUUGUGGUGAUCCUUGCUGAAGGGCGUGAAGAGCGGGUAAGUAGACAGGAGUUAACAUGGCUCAAUGUUUAAAUUUGAGAAACACAACCUAAAAACAAGUACCAGUGUUUAACAUUCAAACCUCAAACAAUUUGAAGGCAAAUGUAAUUUGUGAUUAUAAGA